rnacentral:rRNA from 1 species
UACGUAGGCAGCAAGCGUUGUUCGGAGUUACUGGGCGUAAAGGGUGUGUAGGCGGUUGAAUAAGUGUGGUGUGAAAUCUCCCGGCUUAACUGGGAGGGUGCGCUACAAACUGUCUGACUAGAGUGUGGGAUGGGUAAGUGGAAUUCCUGGUGUAGCGGUGAAAUGCGUAGAUAUCAGGAGGAACACCGGUGGUGUAGACGGCUUACUGGACCAUAACUGACGCUGAGACACGAAAGCGUGGGUAGCAAACAGG